CCAAGCCAUUCAAAUCCGGAAGUGCUACUUCAGACAACCACAAGGAUGACUGCAGAUGUAGACAGAAAUGGCACCACUGCUUAUGAAGGAAACUGGAACCCAGAAGCACACCCUCCCCUCAUUCACCAUGAGCAUCAUGAGGAAGAAGAGACCCCACAUUCUACAAGCACAAUCCAGGCAACUCCUAGUAGUACAACGGAAGAAACAGCUACCCAGAAGGAACAGUGGUUUGGCAACAGAUGGCAUGAGGGAUAUCGCCAAACACCCAAAGAAGACUCCCAUUCGACAACAGGGACAGCUGGGGACUGUGGCAGCAUGGCAUGGGUCAAGAAGUACUUCUCCUUCAUCUUCCUUUGAUGUCGGUAACUCAUCCUUUCUGCACUGCGGGAGUUGUUAAUGCUUUUGUGUCCUCCAGUUCACAUGCUGAUUGCUAAGAAGAAAAUGAGCAUGAGUGAACCCAAAGCUGCUGAAACAUUCUGCGUUUAUGCAACUUCCUUGCCCUCUAUACAAGGAAGAUGGUUUCAUUGUCUUGUCUAGAGAAUAAAGUCUUUUUUAAAAAUAAAA
rnacentral:lncRNA from 1 species